CAGGGAAAGCAUGCUGCUUCUUCAAAGACUCCAAUCUCAGAUGGCAAAAUACAAGGAAGCUGAGGUAGAUCUUCUGGAGUUUUAGAUAGACCACUGUAGCUCAGUCAGAGGUCCAAUUAUGAUAAUACCCACAUGGCCCUGGUCUCCCACAGCCUACAUCCAAGCCUCUGGAGAAGCUGAGUAGCACUGCCUUGAUUCACCACAGAUGCUAUAGAAUCAGCAGAAAGGAAGACCGUGAAAAAGAAAAAUAGAAUCUUUUAAGAGAUGGGGUCUCACUAUAUUUCCCAAAAUGAACUUGAACUCCUGGGCUUAAGCAAUCCUCCCACCUCAGCCUUCCAAGUUAUUGGGACUAUAUAGGUACACACCACUGCGUUCAGCUAAAUUUUUGUAUUUCCAUGGACAUAUAAUACAUUUACAUAUCUACUAUCUCAUAAUUUUCUGUAAAAUAGACUCUGAGUUGGAGAUUUGCACACAGGAAGUUUAAUGGGUUAUCCUCUGGAACAAUAUCUGUAAGAGAGGGAGGGAAGCAGGAUUGUUCUAAGGGAAAAGUUGAAGCGUGAUGCAGUUACAACAGAGGCAUGCAUUGGUUAAUUCCACAUGGAAAUUUAGAUCUUGGGUACCCCUUCCAACUGCUCUUGAUUUGAGAUCAGGAGUCCCUCUGUAACCACAAAUUGACUAGUCACAGGAUAUAAGCUGCCUCUUGGGGAGAGGGCUGGACAUUAGAUAAAGCAGCUCCAUGGAAAUUCUAAGACAGUGACUCAAAUGUGGCCUGUCAGCAGACAAUCUUCUAUGCAGUUGAUGGAAUAACUGCCUCUGUCCUGAGGAGGUGACUGCAACUUUCACUACAGUUCAUCUCUGUGCCAC